AACGCACAUUGCGCCCCUUGGUAUUCCUUGGGGCAUGCCUGUUCGAGCGUCAUCUAACCCUCAAGCACUGCUUGGUGUUGGGCGCUGUCCCGCCGCGCGCGCGGACUCGCCUGGAAAUCAUUGGCGGCCUUUGCAUUGGCUUCGAGCGCAGCAGACCAGCGCCUCGUCCCCUCUCGCGCUGGCGUCCAUCAAGAAACCCCAGACUUUUGACCUCGGAUCAGGUAGGGAUACCCGCUGAACUUAA
rnacentral:misc_RNA from 1 species